rnacentral:misc_RNA from 1 species
GUAUUCAUUUUAUAUAAUUUACUGAUUUUAUCAGUUUUUUAUAUAAAGAUUUGAAGUUUCCAUUAUUUAUUUAAUGGUACUUUUAAAACUAUAGCUUUUUAUAAUAUAGUAACGUUUGAGUUUUUAUUAUAACGAGUUGAAAAGUAUUCGAAUGAAACCUAGUUUCUUACUUAUGCCUAUUAAAUUUGUACUGAUAUUAACGAGUUAUUAUAAUAUUAAAAGUUCAUAAACCAUAUAAAAUUAUUUAUAAUUUUGAA